UAUGGGAGACGCAGCAGUGGAGAAUUGUGCACAAGGGGCGCAAGCGUGAUCCAGCCAUGCCGCGUGUGAGAAGGAGGCCUUCGGGGUGAAAAUCUCUUGUGUUCGGAAAGAAAUCUUUGGGGCUAAUACCCGGGGGGGAUGACGGUACCAGAAGAAAAAGCACCGGCUAACUACGUCCCAGCAGCCGCGGUAAUACGUAGGGCGCGAGCUUUUAUGGGAAUUACUGGGCAAAAAGCGUGCGCAGGCGGUUUUAAAAGACAGAUGUGAAAUCCCCGGGCUUAACCUGGGAACCGCAUUUGUGACUGCAAGUCUAGAGUGCGACAGAGGGGGGGGGAAUUCCGCGUGUCGCAGUAAAAUGCGUAGAUAUGGGGAGGCACCCCGAUGGAGAAGGCAGCCCCCUGGCCUCACACUCACGCUCACGCACGAAAGCGGGGGGAGCAAACAGGAUUAGAUACCCUGGUAGUCCACGCCCUAAACGAUGUCAACUAGUUGUGGGGAAUUCAUUUCCUCAGUAACGCAGCUAACGCGUGAAGU
rnacentral:rRNA from 1 species